AUAUACAAAUUACGGAGACACUAAAAGUAUACCGCCAAAGUUUUACUUCGCGGUAUUUUAUUUUCCCCCAAUUCUCUUUCCAAAUACACCGUAUUUCUGAAUAAAAAAACCCUAUUGUACUUCUUCCUUCCAACAACGACGGUCUUCAUCUUUUUUUUUUUUUCUCCAGCAACAGCGAGAAAGAGAAGAUUCUACAUCGAGUUCCGGAGUAAUUUGGGCACUGAUUUUUCUUUACGGGGUUACGCUUCACUCUGAAGCUUUUGAUCGUGGAAUAAGUAUUUCGGCUGUUCAGGUUCGUGUAUUUUUAUCACAAUGAUGUUUUAUUUUUUAGUAAGGUACAUUCAGACUAUCAUAACCUUCUUGCGUAAAAUAUGUUCUAUAAGAGGAGUUUGGUAUAAUAAGAAGCAACAUCUAGGGUGACAUAUAUAUUUUUAGCUAGAUCCAAACUUAUCAGUACCAUUUGUUAAUGUUACUACACAUAGAACAAAUGAUUGUUUUGUAUCUCUAAAUCAUUGGUUUCUUAAAAGCCAAUAUAGAAGUGUUUUAAUAUUUUUUUUUACUUAAUUUAUCUAACUUGACAUUACUAUAUAUAUCUCUUGAGUUAGAGCUUGCAUAAGGUGCAUGUGUUUUCUUAUUAGAAAUUUCUUAUUGACUAGUUCAGGUGUAUGUAUAAAAUUGUAAUCGUGAUUUUUAAGGGCACUGUUUAAAUUUUAUGAAUGCACUAUUUUUAAUAUAGAAAUAUGUUUCUUUUAAGAUAUGCAUUUUGUUAAUUGCAUAUUAUUUGGACUGGUUGAGCGCAUUACAUCUACUAACUUGGUCAUAAUCAAUUGUGAGAUAUGCAUCUCGAUUUUUGUUAUCUUGUUACAAGUCGCAAACGCAAACCUAAUAAUUAUUUGGUUUAUAAGUCUGACGAAAAAGGUUUGUUAUUACUUUCUUCCCAACCCUUUUGUUUUAUAUUAUUAUGUAAUGGAAAUUAUUAUUACUUGAAGCACAUCUUCCAGUUCAUAUGAGUAUCAGUUCACAUGUUUAUUUGUUGUUAAUGUGCAAUAUUUUAUUUUAGUAGGGUCUUAAUGGAUAAGAGUUGGAUGGAUAAACCAAGGUCUACAAAAGUAUAUAAAAAUGGGUUAAACCAAUUUCUAGACAUGGCUUUUGCUAAUGUAUGUCUCAAUGGAAAAAUGAGUUACACCAGCUGAUGUUUAUGGGGAAAAACAUAGCCGUUCUACGCUUCUUAGGAAGGCCAUGGAGUACAAAACGAAGUAUUUGGAAGCAAUGAAAAAAUAUGAUACAUUGUCAGCAAACGUUCACGUAUGUCAAUCAGAUGGACAACUUGAAGCUGAAAGCUUUCCAGAACAAGAAAUUGCUCCUGAAAAAUCUCCAAUCACGACUCCAAAUGAACAAGAUGAUUCUUGUUAUGUUCCUAAUGCAUUUUUAAGUGAGCAAGUUGGUGCUCAAAGUCCUUCGUAUCAGUUUCAAAUGAGGAACACUCAUUUAGAACAAGUUCACUUUCUACGUCUAUCAAGGGUGGUUCUUAUGUUGUUUUGAAAAGUCUUGAAAAUAUGAAUGAAAUAGUGGCAACUGGUAUAGUGGACAAGAUGGACCAUAUCAGCGUAAAUGGAAUAGAUUUGGGGCCCGACUUUUGCCAAGUUGUCAUUCAAUAUCCGGUAAACAAAGAUGCAAGAUUAGUUUUACCCUAUAAUCAUAU